UCUUUGGAACUCGGGGUUGAUCCAGCGGCUUAGCCGGCUGGCUGCCUUGAAGGCUCCCCCGGCCCCUGCUGACCCGGGCGGGAGGCGAUGUAAGCUGGGGCGGGACGAGCAGAACUUUCCACCGGGUCUGGCUUCGGGGCUGCCCUCACCUGGCUUCGGUCCCGCCGCGCCAGAGGCCGGGAUCGCGCUGGCCCCGCCGCCUGGGAGCUGAGGAUCUCGCCAGAGCAAGUUCAAAACAGGCUCCCGGCGGCCUCCGUGCACCGGCCCUCCCUCCUCCCCCCCUCCCCGGGUGGGUCGGGGCUGCCCCGCCGCCCGCGCGGGGUCGGGACGCGGUGCGGGGUGCGCGGCCGCGGAGUCCGGCGGGACUGGCCUGGGAGCCCGCGCCGGGCCCACCUGCGGGCGCCGUUUGCAGAGGGAUCUCCCCAAGGCGGCGCGAUCGAUGGCCGCCUGUUUGAUGUGGGCGAUAGUGUCAGCGGAUUAAAAGGGACACCGAGCUGUUGUCCCCGGCGGAGAAGCGGCGGCGGCGAGAGAGCGAGCACCGGCUUCUCAGCCGUGCAGCCGGCGGGGCCAGCGGGGCUGGAUCUGUGGGCUGGUGGGUUUAGCCCUUGGACCCAGACUCCCUAGCGGCCCGUGCUUCAGCACCCCACUUGAGACCGCUAGCCGCAGGCCCUCCAAGGUCUCGCUGGCUCCUGGGAAGGCCGAUCUUGGGAAGGGCAAAGGCCUGCCUUCAUCUGUCCUACAGGUUCCCGCAGGCCUGCUCAGUGCAUGCAGUCUCCAGUGGCAUCAUCUAAGAGAAGAUACAAGCUAUUGUUUAUCAGGAAGCUUUGGCAAGAGAAUGGCUGGAUCAGCAACUCCAUCUCUACCCACUGCGGAAAAACAACUCUACAUUCAUCUCUAUUAAUGGGACCACUCCUGGUGAGACUCUGGGCACUAUAUGGGGUGCCAAGGAUCAAAUCCUGGUUGACCACGUUCAAGGCAAAGACUGACCCAGACAACGUUUCCAACAACAGUGUAUGAGAGUUCCUUUUCCACCAUGUUCCUGGCAGCAAUUGGUCAUUUCUAGAUGCGAUUCUCACUGGUGUGAGGAAGCAACAUAUCCUGUAACAUGGAGGAAUACAUUAUUUCUAGUAUGGAGACACACAGGAUCACCAUUGGGAGAACUGCCUUCUAAUUGCAAGUGCUUCCCGGAAAUGCCACGUGCCUCAGGAUGAUUUCUGUUGGUGGGAUGAGUGUGCCUGAUGGAUAGAACUGGAACGCCAAGCAGAUGCCUAUCUUGUUUCUCAGCAGGGUUGAAGAGUAUGCUAAGUGACCAGAGAAGAUGGGAUCAGAACUUUUUUCUUCUAGAAGUCCACAUCAGAUGUCCUAGCUCUAGGCCCAGGAUGGACUAAACACUGGCUCGCUGAGUCUAUCCUUUGUAUCAUCCUUUACAUCUUCCUGUUGGGAAGACAACCACUGGAGAAUCAUCUUGUUACUGUCAGCAAAAGUGAAAGCACAUCAAUACAUCGAGAAUGCAACAGUGGCCAGUAGAUAAUGAUGCCCAUAUCACACAAGCUUCAGCAAAGGAAAUUUUCACUGGCCAGAAAUCAGAAAAGAUUGAACUUCUCCUUUUGUGUUUUAUCUGCUGCCUAAAAUGAUCUACCUCCUACAAAUUAAUAUGCAUUAAAAUACAUAUUGACUUUUCA